CCUGCCUUGUACAGGGGGAUAACAGUUGGAAACGGCUGCUAAUACCGCAUAAGCGCACAGCAUCGCAUGAUGCAGUGUGAAAAACUCCGGUGGUAUAAGAUGGACCCGCGUUGGAUUAGCUAGUUGGUGAGGUAACGGCCCACCAAGGCGACGAUCCAUAGCCGACCUGAGAGGGUGACCGGCCACAUUGGGACUGAGACACGGCCCAAACUCCUACGGGAGGCAGCAGUGGGGAAUAUUGCACAAUGGGCGAAAGCCUGAUGCAGCGACGCCGCGUGAGCGAAGAAGUAUUUCGGUAUGUAAAGCUCUAUCAGCAGGGAAGAUAAUGACGGUACCUGACUAAGAAGCACCGGCUAAAUACGUGCCAGCAGCCGCGGUAAUACGUAUGGUGCAAGCGUUAUCCGGAUUUACUGGGUGUAAAGGGAGCGCAGGCGGUGCGGCAAGUCUGAUGUGAAAGCCCGGGGCUCAACCCCGGUACUGCAUUGGAAACUGUCGUACUAGAGUGUCGGAGGGGUAAGCGGAAUUCCUAGUGUAGCGGUGAAAUGCGUAGAUAUUAGGAGGAACACCAGUGGCGAAGGCGGCUUACUGGACGAUAACUGACGCUGAGGCUCGAAAGCGUGGGGAGCGAACAGGAUUAGAUACCCUGGUAGUCCACGCCGUAAACGAUCAAUAAUGGGUGUUGGGAAGCAUUGCUUCUCGGUGCCGUCG
rnacentral:rRNA from 1 species